rfam:Corynebacterium sp. HMSC04H06 Corynebacterium_spHMPREF3067-1.0_Cont104.1, whole genome shotgun sequence.
CAACAGAGUGCGUGUACGGACUCUGUCCGAAGUGGAGUAGCUGGUGUACUUCCCCGACAUCAGAACCCAUUUCGGGCAGGGCCCUAUACGCACUUAAUUUGUCC